CGGUAAAGAAAUAAAUGACACACGCGCACACACUUUUUAUUUAUGAUUUACAUGGAAUAUUACGGCUUGCAUGUAGAUGAAAUUAGUUUCAAACAAUUAAAGUUUAACGGAAUACCAACUCUAAACCGCAACAUCAGCGAAUAGCAGCAAACUUUAAAGUUUAACGGAAUAUUAUGUCUUUAUUAUAGAUCACAUACAUCAUUAAAUGAAUGAACUUAGAAUGUAGUUUUUUGCUUAUAUUAAUGACCGGAGGGUGUACGUGUAAUAGCAAUGAAACAAAGGGACAUUGGUAACACUAUAUCAAAACACAUUCAUAUUCUACUAAAACAAAAAACAUUUCAACUCUUUUAACACUCUCUCUCUCUCUCUCUCUCUCUCUCUCUCUCUAUCUAUAUAUCUCUCUCAUGUGUUCGAGCUAACCAGAAGCAAACGUUCAAACAUGGCCGCAAAGCUAAAUGUGCGAAUCACAGACCACUAUAUCUAAGGGGAAAUCAGUUUCAGACGCAUGUCGCAGAAUGGCAGCACGACACGUUGAUGUUGUAUUGUUGACUGAUGCCAAUGCUUUGUUAUUUGGAAUAAUGACUAACAUGGAUAAUGCUACUAGAGUUAUUGCCGAGGGUCUGUGACCGGAUCAGAAAAUGGUGUCAAAAGUAAUGACCCGGAAUCCUUUAUUUGUGACAUCAAAUACGUUGGCUAUUGAUGCUCUACAAAAGAUGGUCUAAGAACAAAAAGUUUAAUACUGUAAAAGGAUGUGAGAAGAUUUGAAGAAGAAAGAAAGGAAAAGACAUGGGAAGACAGGGGAAAUAGAGUACAAUUAUACCUGUGACUAUGUUAUAAUUUAUAGAGUACAUGUUACAUUGGAUGAAAACUUGCAAUCGUUUUAGUAUGUAAUUCAAAAUGUGUUGCAUAGUGCAUAGUUCAUUUUCAUUAUGCAAGACAGGGGAAAUUUUAUAGAGUAUGUAAUUCAAAUUGGUUAUUAAAACUUCUCUCUAAUAUGUUAAUUCAAAUAUGAGUGAAGUCAGAGCCCGAUCAGGGUCAAACGACGUAUGAAUGUCGAUAUUUUAAGUCAAAAUUUGGGGUAUGACAAUAUCAAAUUGUUUUUUUCA